UACGAAGGGGGCUAGCGUUGCUCGGAAUCACUGGGCGUAAAGCGCACGUAGGCGGCUCUUUAAGUCAGGGGUGAAAUCCUGGAGCUCAACUCCAGAACUGCCUUUGAUACUGAGGAGCUCGAGUCCGGGAGAGGUGAGUUGAACUGCGAGUGUAGAGGUGAAAUUCGUAGAUAUUCGCAAGAACACCAGUGGCGAAGGCGGCUCACUGGCCCGGUACUGACGCUGAGGUGCGAAAGCGUGGGGAGCAAACAGG
rnacentral:rRNA from 1 species